AUUGAACGCUGGCGGCAGGCCUAACACAUGCAAGUCGAGCAGCGGAAAAGUAGCUUGCUACUUUUGCCGGCGAGCGGCGGACGGGUGAGUAAUGCCUGGGGAUCUGCCCAGUCGAGGGGGAUAACUACUGGAAACGGUAGCUAUUACCGCAUACGCCCUACGGGGGAAAGCAGGGGACCUUCGGGCCUUGCGCGAUUGGAUGAACCCAGGUGGGGUUAGCUAGUUGGUGAGGUAACGGCUCACCAAGGCGACGAUCCCUAGCUGGUCUGAGAGGAUGAUCAGCCACACUGGAACAGAGACACGGGACAGACUCCUACGGGAGGCAGCAGUGGGGAAUAUUGCACAAUGGGGGAAACCCUGAUGCAGCCAUGCCGCGUGUGUGAAGAAGGCCUUCGGGUUGUAAAGCACUUUCAGCGAGGAGGAAAGGUCAGUAGCUAAUAUCUGCUGGCUGUGACGUUACUCGCAGAAGAAGCACCGGCUAACUCCGUGCCAGCCGCCGCCGUAAUAC
rnacentral:rRNA from 1 species